UCAAGAAGACUAGAAAGAAGGAGAGUCAACUCCCUGUAGUGGGGGAUAGGCCAAAUGGGACAAAAUAUGUCCUGUACCUCGAGCUUCUCAAAUUUGCCAAUUUGGCGCUGAUUGUUCUCAGCCGUACUUAUGCGCUAACUAUUUUCAAUAAAUAUUGUUAUAGCGCAAGUUCGUCUAUGCAUGUAUUUGCAUGUAUGAGAUUGAACAUAACCAUAUCUCAAGUGUCAAACGAUUUUAAAGUUAAAAACAAUAUAUAUCAAUAUUACAAUAUUUGUAAACAAUUCUAAGGGAUUUAGUUUGGGAUUCAGUUAAUCUAUUUUUUCAUCGAUUCUAUAAAACUAUAUUAGCUGAUAAAAUUCAUAAUAAAGAUGAAAAAAAAAGUAAAGCGUGUAAAAAAACUUUUUCAAAAACUCCAGAUGAAGGGAGACCUCAUCAAAUUUCCAAGUAAUAUGUGGGUGAGUGUUCAGGGCUUUAAUCAUCGCAUUAUAUAUGCUAAAUAUGAAGCUGAUUUAAGUACUUCUACAAAUGUAAUCAUAUAUCCCAACAUGGAUGUAGAGGUAACAUAUGGUGAAAAAACAUUGGAGUGGAUAUAUUGUGUGACUCCAAAAGUAGUAGAUGAUGUACAAAAUAUCAUUAACUGGAUAGAUACAAUACCACCAUUUGACUGUGCACGCGAUAAUUAAUAUCCAACAUAACAAAUUGAAUUGUACAUACAUGAUCGGAGUCUAUACAAUAGACUCCAGAUUUAAAAAAAAAAUUGAGAAUUGUAACAUUUUAAUUUAAGAGAAAAUAUCUUCAAUACUUUAAAUAUUAUAAACAAGCUUAUUAACGUUUAACGUUAUUAAUUUUGUACUGAAAUACUUUUAAUCAUUGCAAAUUUAUAAUCUGGGUAAAGCUCCGGAUUCAAAACAAAACAUUAACAAAUACUGUUAUAAAAAAAUUGAGAAUUGUAACAUUUUAAUUUAAGAGAAUACAACUCAAAUACUUUAAAAAUUGUAAACAAGCUUAUUAACGUUUAACGUUAUUAAUUUUGUACUGCAAAUACUUUUAAUCAUUGCAAAUUUAUAAUCUGGGUAAAGCUCCGGAUUCAAAACAAAACAUUAACAAAUACUGUUAUAAAAAAAUUGAGAAUUGUAACAUUUUAAUUUAAGAGAAUAUAACUCAAAUACUUUAAAAAUUGUAAACAAGCUUAUUAACGUUUAACGUUAUUAAUUUUGUACUGCAAAUACUUUUAAUCAUUGCAAAUUUAUAAUCUGGGUAAAGCUCCAGAUUCAAAACAAAACAUUAACGAAAAUUGUAAUAUUUAUCAACAAUCUAGGCAAGAGUAAACUGCUAACCGAUAUUUUUAUUUUUAAAAACUGAAAUUGCUGGAAAUAAAAUAAUUAUGAUUAAUUAAAAAAUAA